rnacentral:lncRNA from 1 species
UGCAAAGUGAAGAUAAUGGACCAGUUGUGCGGGCAGUUGGACUUCAUACUCUAAACUGUCUCUCCUAUCCCUCCAUCCUUUCCUCCAUAGUUCCACGGACACCUUUCGGAGAAGAGCGGUUGUUCAGGGACAUGGAUGUGAGGAUGGCUGGCGGUAUCAUGGGUGGGAUGCUGCUGCUGUUAGUGGCCAUCCUGUUCCUGCUGAUCCGAUGGGCCAAGAGGAGACGGAGACGGGACCCGGCCAGACGAGGGGCUGUCAUCCUGGGGAAGCACCCCAAUGUGGUGAACUCGGGCAGGCCCAUGAUCCCCCUGAUUGAGGAGGUCUGCUACCAGAACAAAGGGUUCAGCAUAGACUACGAUGCCUCGGGAGGUUCCGGAAGCCUCUAUGGGAGACAUGGGGUCUACACCAGGAAACAGUCACUGAUCCCACCACAACCACGCUCCCACAGCAGCCAUCCAGACUGCGGCUCCAGGACCGUAACAGGUGACAUGUUGCCUAUACUGGUGAUGCCAGAGCCCUUGGUUAAAGACCUCACUCCUACCCUCAUCUCCAAUGGCAGGAAAGCUGAGCGCACCAUCAGCAUGGGGGCUGUGACAAAAGACAAGAAGGAGAAGGAGAGGAAUAAGCAGAGGGAUAUGGAGAAGGAGGAAGAGGGGGAAUGGGAGAAGGAGUGGGAACGCGCCGUUGACACAAAAGAGAAGAGAUAUUCUGAGGGGGAAAGGACGGAUAAGUCAAGAGAUGUUGUGGGUGCUUCUAGUGGUGCUUCUAGUGAGAACGCAGAUGUAAGCGAGGCCUCUGAGGACCAAACAAACACAGAAAGGCCUCAGAGUCACAGGAUGAAAACACACCAAAUCAGACAUCCUAAAGACGGACACAAAAGCACUUCUGAAGAGGAGUCAGAGACAGAAAACCAAUAUAAGAAUAUGCACUCGGUGAUCUGUCUGUCAGACGAUUAUGACAGAGCCAUGGAGGAUGAAGCUGGAGCCAGGUCCCGUUGCUCCAGCAUCAGGACGUCGAUGGGGGAAUCGCAGCGCAAGGGCUCAACGAAACAAACCGGCGACCAAGCAAACAGACGACCAAGUAACCCACAGAUGCACCAUUCAGACUCACACUCUGGGCUUCAGACUCACAUUGAGGAAGAUGCAAAAGAUGCAAAAGAUGCAUUUAUUCAAAAAUAAAACUGACAUUAUGGAACCAAACGAACACUGUACACAGACAAAAAUGUUUAUAAAUGAUUAUUUUGGGCCUAAAAAAGCUCAACCACUUUUCAGGUCUUGACUGAGUAAAUGGACGAAUGUAAAUCUGAAAACAGAAACGUGUGUUUUCUGUAAAACAGUGUGGGACCAGACUUAAUGUGAAUGAAGUCAUUCUGUAUUACCUUCAUUUGCAGUGUUGAAGAACUAGUAUUUUAGGAAUUAAAGUCAUAAUGUAAGUGCAUGCAAUCUAUAUAGAAAAUAUAGUUUACCAAGCUACCAAUUACUUCACACUGGAAGAAAUUAAGCGACACUAAAGCUACCCUUAAGAAGAAUAUAGUGAACUAUUAGAGCCUCCGAAAAAGUAGUUCACUCCAUCCAAACUACUAUACUUAAAAAUUAUCAUAUCUAAAUCUGAAAUACCAUAGACUACAUAUUGCAAGAACAAAUCACUCCGGAAUCAGAUGUUAACAGAAUGUGUAGUGAGAAUUAGGCAGGUCUAAUGCCAAAAAAGAAAGAAAAUUCUCGCCUACUUCACCUAUAUUUUAUUUUCUUGUUAGCAACAAAGUAGUGUGUAGUUCCAGUAGUUAGCUACACUGCUACAUGGCAAAACACUACCAAGAUUAGAAUUUUGCUACUGCAAAAUGUAAUUAAAUUACUUGUUGAACUACACGUAGUUCACUACUACGUGUAGUUCAACAGUGAUUAUGUGGCGUCACUAGUGUUUGCUAUAGGAGUAAACCGAAGUUUCAUACUGUAGAUGUCCACACACGAAGACCUUAGUGUUGUUUCAAAAACAAUGGUUCAACCCCACUUGAAUGAUGUGUUCAGCACAUUGCAAAUAAACACAUUUUGUGAUUUCAGUAACUGUUUCUAAAUG